rnacentral:rRNA from 1 species
AUUGAACGCUGGCGGCAGGCCUAACACAUGCAAGUCGAGCGAGCGGCGGACGGGUGAGUAAUGUCUGGGAAACUGCCUGAUGGCGGGGGAUAACUACUGGAAACGGUAGCUAAUACCGCCUACCAUCCGCUGUGCCCAAAUGGGCUUAGCUAGUUGGUGGGGUAAUGGCUCACCUAGGCGACGAUCCCUAGCUGUUCUGAGCGGAUGACCAGCCACACGGGUACUGAGACACGGUCGAGACUCCUACGAGAGGCAGCAGUGGGUAAUAUGGCACAAUGGGCGAAAGCCUGAUGCAGCAGUGCCGCGUGUGUGAAGAAGACCUUAGGAUUGUAAAGCACUUUUAUUGGGGAGGCGUUACCCGCACAAGAAGCACCGGCUAACUACGUGCCAGCCGCCGCGGUAAUUC